rnacentral:rRNA from 1 species
GACCGCGACCCCAGGUCAGGCGGGAUUACU